CAGUGGAGGCAAGAUUGAAGGAGGCGGGCGCGUCAGAGACAAGGCUGAGCCACCCACGCGACGCCUGCCCCUUUCUUCGUCGUCGGUGGUGCCUGGGAGUGUUGCCGCCGUCCUCGAGGACCCGCGAGAGACCACGGCUCAUAGAUGCUAGAGUUGCGGAGGUGGAGAGGCAUCGAAUUGUCAAAAGCAUGCUUUGUAACAAGAUGGGUUUGCAGAGUGGUGUUAACCUUGUAUUUUGUUUUGCAGUUGGUGAUUUCAACCACCUUAUCUCUGCAACCAUGAGUGGUGUUACAUGCUGCCUUCGCUUUCCUGCAGUACCGUGCCCUCACUGGCCAGAGCUGACCUCAUGGGACUCCAAGAAAGCAGUUAACAGGUUUAAUUGUGGGAUUUACCUAUUGAUUUUGUGGCUCGUUACUAUUCAACUUUUCCUUUUUCUGUUGUUUGUGUCCAACAUGCGGUAUUAUAGGUUAGAUUCAUGUUCCGCUUCUGUUCAGUUUUUGGUAUGUUGGUCUACUGGCAGGUUGUACAUGGCACAAUGGAUGGUAGUUCUAUUUGUGGAGGAGCACAGCCUAAUCUAACUUACAAGGCGAUUAAGUCCUACUACGAAAACUUCCAGUAAUAUGAGGUGGAUUUCUAUUCGAAAAUGGAGGGUCCUGAAAGCAUUGGUCUUCAUCGAAGUCUUCUAAUAAUGUCUUGGUAUCUGUUAUUUCCAUAUGCGUGUAUGUGAAAUGUUGUAAAUGUUUUAUGUCAAAAAUGUGGGUAAAAAUUGGACAGACGGUUAGCCCAGGCUGUUAUGUUUUCUAAGUUUCAGAAAAAUAUACCGGUAGACAGUUAGCUGAA